AACGAACGCUGGCGGCACGUUUUAAGCAUGCAAGUCGAAUGGCAGCAGGGGCAACUCUGUGAGAAUGGCGAACGGGUGAGUAACACGUAGGUGAUCUGCCUUGAGGAUGGGGAUAGCCUGUGGAAACACAGGGUAAUACCGAAUGAGCUGACGAGACUUUGGUUUUGUUAGUAAAGGUGCUACGGCACCGCCUUGAGAGGAGCCUGCGGCUGAUUAGCUAGUUGGUGGGGUAAGAGCUUACCAAGGCGACGAUCAGUAGCCGGCCUGAGAGGGUGUACGGCCACACUGGAACUGAGACACGGUCCAGACUCCUACGGGAGGCAGCAGCUAAGAAUCUUCCGCAAUGGGCGAAAGCCUGACGGAGCGAUGCCGCGUGAUCGAUGAAGGUCGAGAGAUUGUAAAGAUCUUUUCUACAUGAGGAAUAAGUCUGGGAGGGAAUGCCCGGAUGAUGACGUUAGUGUAGGAAUAAGCCCCGGCUAAUUACGUGCCAGCCGCCGCCGUAA
rnacentral:rRNA from 1 species